UGGCACAGAGUCGCUCCGUUUCUCUGCCUUUAACUCCAUCAGAAUGUAACAGAUCCCAGCGUCAAUGAAAUGCCAAUUAGCCGGUAAAUUUACGAGCGUAUGCCAUGGUCUGUCCCGAUGACACUAUGCUCCCAAGUAUCAUGCGUGAAAGGCACAGAUGCAGUUUUGGGGACUUAAUCAUGCCUGAAAUGAUAUCGCAUUUUAUUUACAUCACUGCAUCAAGAGGAGUCAUUCACUGACACUUGAUGAUGGAGCCCGAAUACGUGCUACGCCGACCCACUGUGCGAGAGAGGACCAUCAAAGUCAUCCACUUAAGUGCACGCUUCUGCGUCAUUGCGUUGUGCAUUGGUUUACUAUGCACUAUUUUGCAAAAUUCCGAACGGAGAUAUGAAGAGCACGAUGAUGCCCAGGUGUACACUGCAACAGAAACAGUUGAUAAAACAAGACUUGAAAUCACCGUCUGCCCAUUCCCAGCAAUUGAACCAUCGAAGAUAUUGAAUUUUGGUCGCUAUUACAAGAUCGCUACCAAUGUCGAUUUUAACACAUUUGAUAUGGAAAAUUCACUUUCUGGCGAUGAUUUAAAGCUCGCAGUUUCAUGCCUUGAAAAGAAUCACUUUGUGCAUGAGAAAGAUACAUUCUUGCAUAAAAUGGAAUUUCUCCGGAACAAUUGGAAUAACACGACGUGCUCACAUAUCGCGCCGGAUAAAGCUAUUGAAGGAUACACAUUUAGGAAAACAUUUAACGGAUUCUCAUUUUUCGGUCUCUCGGAAGAAAUGCAAAUAGACGAAUUCGAUGCAGUUUACAGACAUAUUGACCUAUUGCGAUAUGACAAUACCACCGUACAAGAGCUCUUGGAGUUUUCGGCUCAAGACCUACACAAGCUGAUGAUAUCGGAUUUUGGACAAAAUAAUCAAGGUAAUUUCAGCAGCCCGUCACAAAAAAUUACAGUGCAAAGUAAAGUCUUAAGUUUUGGACCAAACUGCCGAAGAUAUAUCCAAUCCAAGAGUCAUAAAAUACUGCAUCAACGGUACCAACUGAAGCUUAUUUUG